CCUACGGGAGGCUGCAGUGAGGAAUAUUGGUCAAUGGCCGAGAGGCUGAACCAGCCAAGUCGCGUGAGGGAAGACGGCCCUACGGGUUGUAAACUUCUUUUGUCGGGGAGCAAAGCGAGUCACGUGUGACUCAUUGAGAGUACCAGAAGAAAAAGCAUCGGCUAACUCCGUGCCAGCAGCCGCGGUAAUACGGAGGAUGCGAGCGUUAUCCGGAUUUAUUGGGUUUAAAGGGUGGGAAGGCGGAGGUGCAAGUCAGCGGUGAAAUUGCGGGGCUAAACCCCGUCAUGCCGUUGAAACUGGAUCGCUUGAGUGCGCGGGAGGUAUGCGGAAUGCGUGGUGUAGCGGUGAAAUGCAUAGAUAUCACGAAGAACUCCGAUUGCGAAGGCAGCAUACCGGCGCGCAACUGACGCUCAUGCACGAAAGCGUGGGUAUCGAACAGGAUUAGAUACCCUUGUAGUC
rnacentral:rRNA from 1 species